rnacentral:rRNA from 1 species
AUUGAACGCUGGCGGCAGGCUUAACACAUGCAAGUCGAGCGAGCGGCGGACGGGUGAGUAAUGUCUGGGAAACUGCCUGAUGGAGGGGGAUAACUACUGGAAACGGUAGCUAAUACCGCAUACCAUCAGAUGUGCCCAGAUGGGAUUAGCUAGUAGGUGGGGUAAUGGCUCACCAAGGAGACGAUCCCUAGCUGGUCUGAGAGGAGGACCGGCAAAACUGGAACUGGGACACGGUCCGGAUCCCUACGGAGGGCGGAAGUGGGGACUAUUGCACAAUGGGGGAAAGCCGGAUGCAUCCAUGCCGCGUGGGUGAGGAGGGCCUUGGGGUUGUAAGGCACUUUCAGCGAGGAGGCGUUACUCGCAGAGAAAGCACCGGCUAACUCCGUGCCAGCAGCCGCGGUAAUUC